AGAAUUUUUCACAAUGGGCGAAAGCCUGAUGGAGCGACGCCGCGUGGGGGAUGAAUGGCUUCGGCCCGUAAACCCCUGUCAUUUGCGAACAAACCUUAUCAUUUAACAGAUGGUGAGCUGAUUGUAGCGAAAGAGGAAUGGACGGAUAACUCUGUGCCAGCAGCCGCGGUAAUACAGAGGUCCCGAGCGUUGUUCGGAUUCACUGGGCGUAAAGGGUGCGUAGGUGGUGAGGCAAGUCGGAUGUGAAAUCUCCGGGCUCAACCCGGAAGUGGCAUUGGAAACUGCCUUGCUUGAGGAUUUGAGGGGGGAUUGGAAUACUUUGUGUAGCAGUGAAAUGCGUAGAUAUCAAGUGGAACACCAGUGGCGAAGGCGAAUCCCUGGAAAAUACCUGACACUGAGGCACGAAAGCUAGGGGAGCAAAC
rnacentral:rRNA from 1 species